AUGGCGGCGCCCGGAGCGGCAGCGGCAGCGGCGCUGGUGCAGUACGUGGUGCUGCGGGGGGACCUGGGCCGGCCGCCGAUGUCGUGGCCGCUGGGCGCGGUGGUGGCGCAGGGCUGCCACGCCGCCCUCGCCGCCGCGCAUGCGCACCGCCAGCACCCCGACACCCGCGCCUACCUGGAGUUGGGUGGCGCCAUGCGGACCGUCGUGCUAGAGGCUCCGGAUGAGGCCGCCCUGACGGCGCUGGCAGAGACUCUGAAGCAGCACAGCGUCGACCACGAAGUGUGGACCGAGCAGCCCGAGAACAUGGCCACCUGCCUGGCGCUCAGGCCCUACCCGAAGGACCAAGUGCACCAGUACCUGAAGAAAUUUAAAUUGCUGAAGUGACGGGGAACGGGCACGGGCAGCUCUCCUCCGGGGCCAGAGCUGAGCUCACCCCCGUGCAGGCGCCGGGAGGAAAGCUGCUGUGUCCCGGGAGCGCUGUGCUAAUGCUCAGCAGCAGCCCUUUGGGAUUCAAGAUGCUGGUUUUUGCCACCAAACUCCACACACCGGCUAAUUUCCAGCUCCCCAGUGUGACGAACCGUGGUGACAGAGGGGUUCCCGGUGCAAGGACAGGGGUGACCCCCGACUGCCCACACCUCUUGCCCCGGCGAACGGCCCCGGCACCGCUCUGGCAUCCCCGUCGGCACAGAAACAAGUCCAGCGCCGAUCCCCUUCCGUGCCCCGCGCCGAGACGUGAUCAGUGACAGAUCCAGCUGAAACUGAGAUUGCUCUUCCUCCUCCUCCUUCCUCCUCCUCCUCCUGCCGCCGCUGCAGUCCUCCAGCUGCCUUCUCCCCCUCCCCGCCUCCCCGAGAAACCUUCCUCCAGAUUAAGAAGCCAGCAAAAUGAUUACAAAAAUAAGAAUCAUCUGUAAUUUUGGCUCGAGAAACCGACUGUCCCGCCUCGUCGCUUUGCCGACA